rnacentral:misc_RNA from 1 species
AAAGUCGUAACAAGGUAACCGUAGGUGAACCUGCGGUUGGAUCAUUAAAAAAUGAAACCACCUGAUCCUCACGGAUCGGGGAAACCCACAUCUUGUGAACCUUCUAACCGUCCGGCGGGGGAGGAAUCAUUGGAAUCGAAUUACCUUCGGGGACCUCGAAGCCUGGUUCCUCCGUCAGCUCAAGACAUUGCGUUUUGGGCCGUGGACAACCCGCCCCUGCCCCCUCCUCUGGGAUCUCUCUCAUUCGGGGGGGCAAUCUGUCCAACUUUUGACCUAUGAUUUUUAACCCUGAGAAUGCCAUCGUGCCACUGUGCGAUGAUUGGAAACAAAACAUUCAAAAACAACUUUUGGCAACGGAUCUCUUGGCUCUC